UACAGAGGUGGCAAGCGUUGUUCGGAAUUACUGGGCGUAAAGGGCGCGUAGGCGGUCUUGUAAGUCCUGUGUGAAAUCCCUCGGCUCAACUGAGGAACUGCACGGGAAACUGCUUGGCUUGAGUUCGGGAGAGGGAAGCGGAAUUCCGGGUGUAGCGGUGAAAUGCGUAGAUAUCCGGAGGAACACCGGUGGCGAAGGCGGCUCACUGGCCCGGUACUGACGCUGAGGUGCGAAAGCGUGGGGAGCAAACAGG
rnacentral:rRNA from 1 species